CUCUUGGUCCAAUGAGAGCUGGCAGAUUCUGUGUCUCAGGAAGCCACUGGCAUCACAGAGGAAUGGACAAGAUCUUUCUACAAAGUCCUGGCUAUUCUGGAACUCACUGUGUAGAGAGCAGGACACCCUUAAAUUCACAAAGAUCCACCUGCUUCUGCUUCCCAAAUGAUGGAAAUAAAGGCACAUAUCAAUAA